GAUGAAGAACGUAGCGAAAUGCGAUAAGUAUGUGAAUUGCAGAAUUCAGUGAAUCAUCGAAUCUUUGAACGCACAUUGCGCCCGCCAGUAUUCUGGCGGGCAUGCCUGUUCGAGCGUCAUUACAACCCUCAGGCCCCCGGGCCUGGCGUUGGGGAUCGGCAGAAGCCCCCUGUGGGCACACGCCGUCCCUCAAAUACAGUGGCGGUCCCGCCGCAGCUUCCAUUGCGUAGUAGCUAACACCUCGCAACUGGAGAGCGGCGCGGCCAUGCCGUAAAACACCCAACUUCUGAAUGUUGACCUCGAAUCAGGUAGGAAUACCCGCUGAACUUAAGCAUAUCAAUAAGCGGAGGA
rnacentral:misc_RNA from 1 species